AUUUCACAUGGCGAUGGAGUUCGCCUUCGAGCGCCGAUCGGCUGAUGACUCCUUGACUGUC
rnacentral:ncRNA from 2 species